UACGUAGGGUGCAAGCGUUGUCCGGAAUUAUUGGGCGUAAAGAGCUCGUAGGCGGUCUGUCGCGUCGGCUGUGAAAACCCGGAGCUCAACUCCGGGCCGGCAGUCGAUACGGGCAGACUGGAGUUCGGCAGGGGAGACUGGAAUUCCUGGUGUAGCGGUGAAAUGCGCAGAUAUCAGGAGGAACACCGGUGGCGAAGGCGGGUCGCUGGGCCGAUACUGACGCUGAGGAGCGAAAGCGUGGGGAGCGAACAGG
rnacentral:rRNA from 1 species